AAGGGUUUUUAGCAAGAAAAUAGAUUAAUAAAAAUAAGCGUGGGCUCAGAAGAGGUGAGAUAAUAUUAACAAGUGACCAUGAGAAGACAGAACCAUUCAAUUCCUCCUCUACUUUCAUCGAAGAAUGUGACCUUCAGACUUGAAGGAGUAAGAUAAACAUUGGUACAGAAGAAACUAAGACCAUGUUCAUGGGCUGUUUGGAAUCACCAUCAAGGAGCCACUGGGAAUUCAUAAAGAACACAAGAGGUGCCAAACGACCAAAGGCCUCCCUCUCCACUCCUGUGAUGACAACUUGAUACUUUCUCUCUGCUCAACCUUCACACUUCUCCAUCCUCACUCUUAGUUGAUGACCUCACCCCACACUUCAUAAGAAGACUGAAGUCAUCGGAUGUGUCUGUCUUCGUCUUCCUACCUGUACACCCACAGAUCUACCUGCACUUGGACCCAUCUUGUCUUUGCAGCCUGCAUCUGAAGGUUGGGAAUAUUACCUUCAGCUGUGGGGAGAAGGAGAAGAGGAAUGUCUCUCCAGUACCAUAGAAGCCUUUGCUGAGUCGAAGAGCCGAGGAGGAGAAGGCCCCAAACAUCUGGAAAGCAGAAGAGCUUGAAGUUGCAGCUGGAAGGGAGUGGAGGUCCUCUGGCAACCCCGCUCUCCAGGCUUGGUAAUAUAGGCUCAUCCUAGUAGGGCCCCUGGGGAGCCUGGGACAGAGCUGGGGGAUGGAGAGGGCCCCAGAGCCCAUCAGUGUGUCCCUUCCCUUAACACUCCCCAAGGAAGAGCCCUUGCUGGUGUCCUCCUCCUUUUUCUUAAAUGUACUUAUUUUGUAUAAGUAAUCCUUGUAGAAAAGUAUUAGAAGUUAUAGACAAGCAGAAAGAAAAUAUGAAGCCAUCCCAAAUCCCCCUCUGCUCCCCAAGAUAACUAUUCUUAACAUUUUUGUGCAUUUCCUCCCAGCAUCUGUUUAAUACCAGUGUGCGUAUUCUUAUACAGAAAACCAGAUCCUAUAGUACAUCUGUUUUUUUUUUUUUUUAAGUUUUAUUUAUUUAGGUAAUUUCUACACCCAACGUGGGAUGUGAACUCAUGGCCCUGGUAUCAAGAGUCACAUGCUCUUUCAAAUGAGCCAACCGGGCACCCUGUACAUUGUUUUGUAAGCUGCCUCCCCCCUUCACUUUUCUUCAUAAAAGUCCAAACAUCCAAAAAAAGUAAAAGUCCGGCACAGAAUACCCUCCAUGAGGAUUUAAAACUGUAAAUGUGUUUGCCAUAUUUGCUUUCUCUCUCCUUAUAUUUUUUUGGUGUCCUGUUUGAAAUUGUAGGUAUUAUAACCUUUUACCCCUAAAUAGUUCAGCUCCAAGAAUGGGGACCUUCUCACGUAUAACCACAAUACUAUCAUCUCACCUAAUAAAAUUAACAGCAAUUUCAUAAUAUUAUCUAAUAUCCAGUUCAUAAUACAUUUUCUCCACUGACCCAAGAGUGCCUUUCAUAUCCUGCUUUACAAACAAAAACUUGGGGGGCACCUGGGUGGCUCAGUCGGUUGGGUGUCCGACUUCGGUUCAGGCCAUGAUCUCACAGUUCGUGGGUUCAAGCCCCGCGUCAGGCCCUGUGCUGACAGCUUGGAGCCUGGAGCCUACUUCAGAUUCUGUGUCUCCCUCUCUCUCUGCCCCUCUCCGCUUGUACUCUGUGUGUGUGUCUCUCUCUGUGUCAAAAAUAAAUAAACAUUUAUGGGGUGUCUGGGUGGCUCAGUCGGUUAAGUGUCCGACUUCGGCUCAGGUCAUGAUCUCACGGUCCAUGAGUUCAAGCCCCGCGUCAGGCUCUGUGCUGACAGCUCGGAGCCUGGAGCCUGCUUCGGAUUCUGUGUCUCCCUCUCUAUCUGCCCCUCUCCCAUUCGCGCUCUGUCUCUCUCUGCCUUUCAAAAAUGAAUAAA